GAGAGAGAGAGAAGGAAAGCAAGAGAGGCACUUCCAAGAAAUGAGUGCUAAAAGCUGUUUUGAAAGAAGACACCCUCCCUUAUCGGAGAGGUUUCGUAUGCAGCGGCUUUAGAGAACGGUCUGGGUGUUGUUCACAGCCUUUUGCUCUGGGUGUGCAUGCAGGAGGGAUACAGAAGAGGGAGGAAGACAGGUCGAGAGAGAGAGAAAGAGGGCAAAAACGGAUACAUGUCUGUGGCCAUUUCUCUUCGAUAUAAGAAGAUUGGCCUGUCAUAAUCUAUGCCGCUGAGUAAUCAGUGUUGGGUUGUGUUCUGCUACAGUGGCACCCGAAAAAGGACGGCCAGAAAAAAGUCACAUCCCAGAAAGGUGACAUCAUCCUCUUUGCCAAAGAAAGAUGAUGGCCGCCACACCUGGAAUACCAACCUGAGCUGCAUACACAGGCCAAACAGAAGAUGGAAAUUGUGGAGUCUCAGUGGGAUUAAUUGAAGGAGGAAAGCAAGUGGGAGCGAGAAGUGGAAAGACGUGGAAAACAGGGGAAACAUGGAAAAACAAUCUCUUGCGUCCUCGAGGGAUGGAGUGAUGUGAAGAACUCGUCUGAGAGUGUUGAACAGAGAUGCUUGGAAAGUCUCCUCUCCACCUGAGUGAAGGGGGUAAGAUUGUUAUCCUGCUGGGUGAAGAUCUCAGCCAGGACUGGCAUCGCUUCCCAUCUUUUCUGAGCCAUUGAAGAUGUCUGAAGAAAUAAAAGGUGGUCUCAUCAGACCUGUGGAGUUUGGCCUUUAAUAUUCUUUGAAGGUCCUUGUUAUUUGUUCUAAGCAUAACUUGACAGUCGUGACAGCGUUUGGGUGAAAAUGUUAUUUCUAAAGCCUCGUUCACAACAAGAACGAUAACUAUAAAGAUAACUAUAAAGAUAAUGAUAUUAGCGUCCACACCAGUGGACGAUAUCGUCUGUUUAUUCUUAGCGCAUGCUUGUCUGCCACUUUAAAUUCUCGAGCUUGUGGUAGCAGGAUGGUUUCUGAUUGAGUGUCAAAAUUUGUAUUGUUCAUCAGCUGGAAAAAAAUGUUCUGGAAGUGAUUCCAAUGAUAUCGUUUCUAUGUGCCUUUAUCAUAAAAGCUGUAGUGUGGAGUCUGCUAUUCUUUAAUAUUGAGUACGAUUCUUAGAACUAUAUCUUUAUAGUUAUCGUCCUUGGUGUAAAUGGGCCUUAAGAUUGUUUAUUUUAAUUUACACCCGUUUUACUUGUUUCUGAUAAGCUAAGGCAUUGCUAAAGAGAAGAAUUGCCAUGUUGUAUCUUAGGCUUUCUGUCAUCUUCCUCUGUUACUUUGAACCUAUCAAAAUGCUAGAGAGCAAGUUGCAUGGAAAGAAUUCCAGUCUCUCUCUAUCUCUCUUUCUCUCUUUUCCACCAUUUUCUCUGUUCUUUCUUCUGUUCUUUUAUUCUCUCCUUCUCUCCCCUGCACCCCUUCUGCAGUCUGUACUAAAACCCCUGAAUACCUUUGCUUCCAGACCCCUCCCUAUCUGUCCCAGCCAUUUUCUGUUACCGGCACACAAAAGCUCUCCGUUGCCGCGGUAAUGGAGUUGUGAGAUGUGGGAUGAAGCCGUUCCGGGAAAGCGUGUGCGAUAACUAAAAUGAAAAAGUGGAAAAUGGCGUCUGAUUUAGCGUCUCCCUCCUUUUCUCUCCCGCCCUGCAGUUCAACAUCCUGCCCCCUCUAUAUUCUCGCCGUCGUGUUUUCCUUUAGGGGAUAAUUCGAUUUUGGAGAUGAUCUACGGUGCCUCAGAACUGAUAAUAUCAAACACCCCCUCGUGUUUUUCACAUUACUGUGUGAAUGCUAUUGCCUUUCCUCUCCGCUUCCGUCUGUACCUUCUCGCUUCUUUUUGCUGCAUACUUUUUCUUUUCUCAUGCUUUCUGCUUUCUUCUUUUGUUGCCAAGUAGAGGCAGCCGAGGCAUCUCUGCAUAGGGGACCUACUCACUUUUUGUCUAGUUGUACUUUGCUCUCACUCUCUCUCUUAUAAAUAAUAUGCGGUAUGAGGUACAUGGAUAUAGACAGAGUUACAGGGUUUCAUCAUUGAGUCAUUGCUAUCAUCAUUUUGAGGACUGAGAGCAUGAGUCUGGAUGCACUCCUUACAAGUGAUGCUUAAAUGAUGAUUUUCCUGUUUUUGAAACACAACACCAAACAAUAUAUGGAGAGUGCGGCCCAGCUGUCUUAUGACAUUUUUGCCAGGCAAUUUAUUUUCACUCUGUGAAUAAGGAAAACUGUGGCAAUUUAAAGCCAUUCAACUGCAAAAUGGAAAAGAAAGCAUUUCCUUGAACUAAACAGCAUAUUUUCCACAUAACAUUGGGGGACUUCACCCCCUCUUUAGGUCAUGGCAGCUGGUGUGGAGAUCUCUGGUCAAAUACAAUCAGCUCUCUCAGUUAAAUGAAAGACAGGUCCCAGUGGGACACACACUUUCCAUUAGAGCCCAUUCAUAAAAUGCUGAGGCCUUAAAGGAAUAGUUCACCAAAAAAUGAAAAUUUGCCAUCCAAGAUUUAGACAAAUUUGUUUUUUCAUCGAGAACAGAUUUGGAAAAAUUAAGCAAUACAUCACUUGCUCACCAAUGGAUCCUCUGCAGU